rnacentral:rRNA from 1 species
UACGAAGGGGGCUAGCGUUGUUCGGAAUUACUGGGCGUAAAGCGCGCGUAGGCGGACAUUUUAAGUCAGGGGUGAAAUCCCGGGGCUCAACCCCGGAACUGCCUCUGAUACUGGGUGUCUAGAGUUCGGAAGAGGUAAGUGGAAUUGCGAGUGUAGAGGUGAAAAUUCGUAGAUAUUCGCAGGAACACCAGUGGCGAAGGCGACUUACUGGUCCGAUACUGACGCUGAGGUGCGAAAAGCGUGGGGAGCAAACAGG